GCGAAUACGGAGGGUGCGAGCGUUAAUCGGAAUUACUGGGCGUAAAGCGCAUGCAGGCGGCCUGUUAAGUCAGAUGUGAAAGCCCGGGGCGUUAACCUCGGAAUAGCAUUUGAAACUAGGCAGACUAGAGUACUGUAGAGGGGGGUAGGAAGUUUCAGGUGUAGCGGUGAAAUGCGUAGAGAUCUGAAGGAAUACCGGUGGCGAAGGCGGCCCCCUCGGACAGAUACUGACACUCAGAUGCGAAAGCGUGGGGAGCAAACAGGAUUAGAUACCCUGGUAG
rnacentral:rRNA from 1 species